rnacentral:rRNA from 1 species
GAGGAAUAUUGGUCAAUGGACGCAAGUCUGAACCAGCCAAGUAGCGUGCAGGAUGACGGCCCUCCGGGUUGUAAACUGCUUUUAGUUGGGAAUAAAAAAAGGGACGUGUCCCUUAUUGUAUGUACCUUCAGAAAAAGGACCGGCUAAUUCCGUGCCAGCAGCCGCGGUAAUACGGAAGGUCCAGGCGUUAUCCGGAUUUAUUGGGUUUAAAGGGAGCGUAGGCGGAUUGUUAAGUCAGCGGUUAAAGGGUGUGGCUCAACCAUACAUUGCCGUUGAAACUGGCGAUCUUGAGUGCAGACAGGGAUGCCGGAAUUCGUGGUGUAGCGGUGAAAUGCUUAGAUAUCACGAAGAACUCCGAUCGCGAAGGCAGGUGUCCGGGCUGCAACUGACGCUGAGGCUCGAAAGUGUGGGUAUCAAACAGGAUUAGAUACCCUGGUAGUCCACACAGUAAACGAUGUAUACUCGCGGUUUGCGAUAGAGUGUAAGCCGCCAAGCGAAAGCAUUAAGUAUACCACCUGGGGAGUACGCCGGCAACGGUG